rnacentral:rRNA from 1 species
UACGAAGGGGGCUAGCGUUGUUCGGAAUUACUGGGCGUAAAGCGCGCGCAGGCGGUCUUCCAAGUCAGUGGUGAAAGCCCGGAGCUCAACUCCGGAACUGCCAUUGAAACUGUUUAGCUUGAGGAUGAGAGAGGUGAGUGGAAUUCCCAGUGUAGAGGUGAAAUUCGUAGAUAUUGGGAAGAACACCGGUGGCGAAGGCGGCUCACUGGCCCGGUACUGACGCUGAGGUGCGAAAGCGUGGGGAGCAAACAGG